AUUGAACGCUGGCGGCAGGCCUAACACAUGCAAGUCGAGCGGGGUUUUCGGACCUAGCGGCGGACGGGUGAGUAAUGCGUAGGAAGCUGCCCGAUAGAGGGGGAUACCAGCUGGAAACGACUGUUAAUACCGCAUAAUGUCUACGGACCAAAGUGUGGGACCUUCGGGCCACAUGCUAUCGGAUGCGCCUACGUGGGAUUAGCUAGUUGGUGAGGUAAUGGCUCACCAAGGCGACGAUCUCUAGCUGGUUUGAGAGGAUGAUCAGCCACACUGGAACUGAGACACGGUCCAGACUCCUACGGGAGGCAGCAGUGGGGAAUAUUGGACAAUGGGCGCAAGCCUGAUUCAGCCAUGCCGCGUGUGUGAAGAAGGCCUUCGGGUUGUAAAGCACUUUCAGCGAGGAGGAAGGGGUGUGUGUUAAUAGUACACACCUUUGACGUUACUCGCAGAAGAAGCACCGGCUAACUCUGUGCCAGCCGCCGCGGUAAGAC
rnacentral:rRNA from 1 species